rnacentral:lncRNA from 1 species
CAUCCCACCAGACCUUUUGGAUGGGACCCGUGUUGCUGGCACGAGAGGGAUCAAGGGACCGAUCGCCCUGAAUUAGAUGUUCCUCUAUCCAAUCCCACGGAGAGAGGUAUUGGCCCCAGCCUCCGCAUAUAGAACACCAAUGAAUCCUACAUUUUUUAGGUGAUAGGCGCCCGACGGUGAUAAGAUCGCCACGGGAAGCGCUUAUGACCGCUCGCAUAAAGACCCCCGGCCGGCUGGUACGUUACGAAUCAUGAAAUGUUGACCGAACAGUAAGCCAUUUACCUGGAUCCCAUUUACCCGAUGCGAACCAAGAAGACGAAAGCUUGUGCUUAUUAUUAAGUGAAAUUAAUAAAAGAAUGCUAGCCGACUCUAGCUCUGAACCAGUCCUCGCUAAUCGGCCACUCUACCGCACCCGAGAGGUGAUCGUUAAUAAAUGAAAUCUAGUGUUUAACACUUUCUGAGUGCCCCUUUGUCCCAAUAUCCCUGACAUAAGUUCAAACUAGACUCGCGGAUCACAAAGCCAUUAUUUAAAAAACGACACCUACCCAUUCAGAGUGCACCCAUUCCUAUGGAGAAAGGAAGUAUUCUCCCGGGCCUACGUUCCUGGAGCGCUUCUGCGUCUUGCUUUAGGCUUAGCCCACAAUAAACAUCUCCCUAUAGCUCUUGAUGUGAAUCAUCCAUCUCCUUAUGCCUUACAUAUCGUACUCCUUCUUUCUUUUGAGAGGUAGAGGCUCGGGCAUUAGGUGAAGGCAGAUUAGGAACGAGUACGUUCAACCAAAAGAAAAGCACCAGGGAUUGAUUAGUGACCUAUACAGGACAGUUAGACGACAGAUAGACCCGAUGGAUGACCAUAAGUGAAGGAUCAAAUAUCGCCUUUUGUCAUUUCAUUUAGAUACUAUGUCCGGUCCUAGUACCGCAUUCCUCCUUUUUUAGACAUAACAUAGUCAUAGUCUUGGAUCCAUUCCUACCAGAUUUCGUUACUUUAUGAAAGGUGAGUUCUACUUCCCUGCCGCGAGGGCUUCUACCAGCUCUGAGUGAGCCCCCUAUAUGAGAAGGACUACACGGGAACCCAGCAAACAUAGGUCAAAGAAAAAUAGAGAGAAUCGAGUUGAUAGCUUCCAGUAGUAGUUGCUUGAUGGUGUGUAGUGGGAUGACCUGGUAGCGAUCAUAUUAGUAUGUAUAUGAGCAGUUCACCAUGAGCAGGAGUUUCUCGAUAUCAGAUCUUGAAAGAAAGGAGGACCAUUUCUCACAUCAAGGUAACUACGAUAGGCAAAAGAAGACUCUUAGGUCAUUGAUUCAAAUUCUACCUAUAUUUGCAUUCACUUAAUGGUCAAAGCAACAAUGGAAUUGACUCUAACAUCCGGCCGGAGGAAAGACUGACUACUACAAGGGCUUGUGCCAACCAACAAGAAGGGGGACGGUGCAAAGACAUCUCUUGGCCAGAACCGAACAUUGCCCUUUACCAUCCCACCACUAGGAGACUGGGACUCGAGGCGUGGUUAAGUAUUCCCUUCCGCUCUGGAAGUCAAUUUAUUUCCUAUCUUUCGGUGAACAAUAUCUUUAUUUUCUCUGAUUUUAUGUUAUAGAAAUAAUAACUUUACCUUCCUCUGCUCUGGCAGCUCUUUCAGCUAGCAAGCUAUGUUGGUUUGGGCAUUUCCAUCGCGAAGGAUUCAAAACGAGUCCCAUUCGAUUGAUAUUCAUUCAAGGGUGUGGUUUGACUGGUGAACUACCUAAAAGUCUAUCUAUUAUCAGUUUCACUCGUUCUAUUUGAAGUUGGUUAUCCCCUUUGGUGCUUUCCUGGAACAUUUCAUUGACCUAAGGCACGAUCCUCUUUCUUCUUAGAAAGGCUUGCUGACAGUGAUUUUGCCGAAUCAAGGCUCAGGGGCAAUAAAGAUAGGUUCUUUCGCUUCCAGCUGGCGGAUCAAUGCCAGAGCUUCCCCUCUCGGUUUUCCUAACAAAGGUUUCAGUGGGUACCGCGCUUGCUACUAGACUAAGAAAGUGGAGCAAUAGACGUUCCACUUGUCCUCUUCCUUGCCCUUUUCGGAGGAUAGAUUCUAUGUUGAAUGUUGACCCAAAGAGUCGUUGGCCAAACAGGAAGUCAACUACCUACACAUGCUUAGGGGGAAUAUUUGAGAUGGGUUUGAAUUGCCCAAGGAAUCGAUUGAAGACUGAGCGAGUAGAAAAGCAGUUGCAAGCAAGUAGGAGUCCCAAACUAAGACUAACAUAGUAACUGCUAUUAAUAUUCACUCAGCCCCUUUGGAAAAAAAUGCCAACAUUGUACUAUUCAACCAAGUUCCCGAGGCUUAUCCGAAGGAGAAUUCCUCAUCCCUCGAUAUAAAGAAGUUUAGAAGGCAAGAAUUAGUUGCAUUCGGGCCUCUAAAGCAAGAUGAAAGUGUCCUGCUGGAUAAGAAGACCUAAAAGACCAGUCAAGGGAAUCCACCUUUCAACUGCCAAGCAUGGGAACUUACUUAUGAAUCUAACCUUUUUGAAUAAAGGUGAGAACUCGCUUUCAAAUCCUUGCGAUUCUUUCUGUGCGCCGGGGAAAAAAACCUAUAGGCGAGGUCUCAAACCUAAACCUAUUUACCCAGAAAGAAAAUAGUAAACUGGGACUGGCUUUGCCUUCCCUAUGCUAGCUUUCGUGCUCCCCUUUCCAUGCAAAGUGAAAUUAUUAAUAAAUAGAAAUUCUAUCUGAAAGAAAGGGAAUCCUAUCUAUAGCCUUAAGCUUAAGUUAAUUAAUGCUUCUUCCAAGCAAUCGAAUCAGCUAAAGCCAAAAUGCGAUGGUAAUGCCAGACUUUAGUCUCUCUAUUCUGUAUUCAAUUCUUCUUCCUUUCAACAUCUUUCCUCUCGGAAAUAUACCCAAUCAAAAGCCCUAAGUCGAAGCCUUGAGUAAAGAAAAGUACCUGCUAUCUGCUUUCUUCCCUGUUGGAAGAAGGCUAUCUCGGCACGAGGCCGUAUAAAUUGUAGAUUUGCUUGGGUCCAAGGCUCUGCCGCUGGCCAGAUAGGCGAAGCGGUUCACCACUCUGCUUCCAGAUUUCAUUGUAAGUCUAUCUAAUUUCAUUAUUGAGCGGGGCGUAGACUUGCCCGUCUUGAGGUCGAUUCGUUCGGAUGUCAGUACACUUCCCCACUUUUGUCACUUUCGUUGAAAAUGGAGUCGGAAGGGCUCCUGUCAUGCAUUCGCCCAUGACGACCAUUCGGUAAGUUCUAGCGCUCUUUUCGAUCCCAGGCAAGUCCGACUGACCGUGUACUGUGCCAUAGUAGCACUCUGGGCGGAGGGGACAGCCCUAACUAUACCAAAAGUGGCAUAGCUAAAGACCCCCCUCUGUCUUAUUUAUCUCUCUUUGUCCCUGCGAGGCGAUCCAGAGUCUUCUUUUGAGCUUUGUUCCUGGUCUCCGAACGCUGUAGGUCAAGCUUAGCUUCUCGGCUUCAUUGCUCUCACCCGGUCGAUACUAUCGGAGCUUCUUGAUAGUGGGCUAGCUCUGAAACCUAAUCUAAUGAGUGGGGUACCGCUCCUCUACUCGUACUCGCUUGUCGACUCUCUUCCCGAGGAAAUCAGGUGAGACUUCCUUUCUCGCUUUGAGGCUUGCUUUGAUCAGUCUGACACAGCCCCUUUUGUCACAGCGGAUUCUCUUUCUGAGUCUGAGCGCUAAUCUUCUUCUGACCGUACUUCCCGAGUGGAUAAAACGAAAGUAUGAGUCUUCCCUUUCGUUUUGUUGUCUUUGAAAAAGAUGAUGGCUUAAAACUGCAAAGGCUAUGACCUAGAGUAUGAGCAGCUCCGAAUCUUGCCUCCUUCUUUGGCUUUGUUUGCCUUCCACAUAAAAGGAAGAGUUUUCGCUCCAGGCCUGUCAUCCUGGGAUCUCCUUCUGCUCGUCCACUCGGGGAUGAGCCCUACAAGACUGAGGUUGGCUACACACUUCUUUGAUUGCUUGGGCGGUAAUCUUCUCUAUUCACCUAUCCAUCUACUUUCUGAAUUUAUGAUGGCCAGGCAUAGCCGGAAGUCUUUCGUAGGCUGCUCUCGAGGCAGUGGCUUUUUUCUAAUCCCCCGCAGUCACCCACCAUGAUCGGAGCUGAGAUUCUUCAGACUAGCUUGGUUAGGUCAAUAUCUGUAACAUCGCUUCUAUUUGAUCUAAGAUAGAGAUUGGCUGAAGGGUGAGAAAGAAUCAAUUAAAGUAGAUGCUGGCUUCAACUUCACAUGCUAGAGCCCUAUCUGAUGAAUAUGAUCUUGCCUUUUGGGUUGGCUAGCGCCUGUGAAGGCUCGUACUCAGUAGCUCAUUUGCUUUCUUUAUGAUAGCAGACGUUCUCUCACUUCUUUUCUUUCUACCCUUUGACUUGCCUUCCACUGGCCGAUCCAUAAGAGUAGGCAUUCCGACAGAGUCCAUGACUCGGCUUAGCUUAAUCCACUCCAGUCCCGAUGCUAUUGCUAUGCUCGAGCCUGAUCGCUCAUAUGAUGACUUCCCCUUUCUAUCGGCCGUACCGGGAAGACUAGAGUAUGACCCGCUUCAUUGACCGAAACCAACCUGAAAAGGAAGAGUUGGACAGCAAUAGAAAGAUAGAGAACUCCGUCUUCGGCCUCUCGGGCCCCUUUCCUUAGACGCUCUUGCUUUCACUCCUAUUGCUUGAUCGAUUUAGCAGCUUUCUUCUAUUUAUUCUAUUUCCUUUGUCGUUAUCUCUUCUCUUAGACCAUGAAAUGACAUUCGAGGAUCAGGCGAACAAGAUACAUUCCUAUGUCUUUUCCCUCCUUGCUUGCUUUACUAAGAAGUGUGAAGUAGGUAUUUCUAUAUUCUUUGAUAUCGCAUGCUCGUGCAUACAAUUUAUCACCUAUUCCUUUACUUGUUGCCCCCUACAACCUUUCUUUCUCCAACUCCUUACUAUUGCCUUAUCCUCCUAUUUUGUAAGAUUUUUUGUUCCAUCCAUCACUAAAGGAGUAGCAAAGAAGUAGCAUCGAUUUUCUUCUUGCAGUUUCGUUUCGAGUAGUAUUGACGUUAAUGAUCACAGAAACCUAUCUGACUUUCUUCUCGAGUUAGUUAGUUUGUGGAAACAAAAAUCGUUUGUGUUGAAAAAAGACAAGCUAGCUGCUCGGCGUCUCAAAUUGGUAUGUCCUCGUUAGAGGGUUGAGCGAACUCGUAAAAGCGCCAGGCCCAGGCCUUUGGUUUUGGGAAUACCAUAGCGAGCGAGGAAAGAAGAGGAGGAGAACCCCUUACAGGGGGCUCGAAUCCUAAAUCCUAUUGGGUAGGACAAGACGGCUGUGAUUGAUAGUCUGUGGGAAGGUGGAUCAUCCCUAGCCGGCCCCUGACUAUCGGAAAUGGGCCCUUCGAGGCUAUCACUAACUUCUGCGCAAGAACAGAUGAUAGAUAGAGGGGAACCCGCCGUGCUAUUUAUAUACGAAACUCAGAUUCAGAUUAUGUUGGCCGCUUUGAGGAGCGAUCUGUUCAUCCAACUAGAAAUAUCGUAAGAGAAGAAAGAGAGCUUUAGAAGCAGCCAAUCUUUUCUUUAUGCCCAUCCCAUGCCUUUCUUGGUUGGACCAAGGCCAUUUCCGGCAAGUCUUUCUUCAUUUUUAGAGCAAGUCUCCCCUUUUUCUUUGGGGGAGCAGAGCAGUCAAAGAAUGAACCAAAGCACAUGAAUGAAUUGAUGGCAGCCGUCGUCCCUUUUUUAGACGCGAUACAAUCUCUUCCAUCCACUAGUGGUAUUCCUAUUCCCAUAGAUGCUAAUCCGCUUGUUGUUUCGGAUACAAUCGCUCAGGAUGACCUGUGGGAUGCUCUCGAGCAGGAAAACUGGAAACAGCUCUCCAGCUCGCGGGAAUACAAAUUGAUAGAACGGCACAGAGAGCAAUGCGGAGCAAUGAUCAAGUCUAUUGCUGGAUUAUUAUUAUUGCAGCAAUCCAUUUUAGAUGGUACCCUGGGGAUGGCUAUUGAAGACCCCACAGAUAUUGAUAGAGCAACGAGUGUCGUUUUCGACGAUCUCUUCGAUCGCUUUGACACGCAUCAAAAAAAGCGAAAAAACCAUUGAACGAGAGUCCUGCGGAACAUAGGAAAUGAAAGAAGUCCGGUCGGGAGAGCAUUCCUAAAAGACCUGAAAAGGUUUUUAUAAGGAAGACCGAGUGAUUUCAGUUGGAAAUGGUAUUGCAGGUCUAUCAGAUCAGUGGGCAACCAUAGUGGACUUUUUUCGUGGUGUUGUUGACGUUGUUGAAAGCGAAUUUUGUUGUAAGUCUCGCUUCAAAUCUUUUCUCUUUUCGGUAUGCCGCUCCGCGAGCAGAGCGAAUGAAAAAAAAAAUCCAACCUAAGAUGAAUAUCCUUCGACCAUUAUCUCCUCAUCUUCCUAUUUAUAAGCCACAGCUUACUUCGACGUUUCCAAUUUCCCAUAGAAUCUCCGGAGCUUUCCUAGCCACUAUCCUUUUCUUUUUUUAUCUUCUUUGUCUGAAAAUAGGUUUGAUUUGCUUCACCUAUGAGAAUGUCUGCCAAUUGAUCUUUUAUUCAUCAAAGCUCAUCCUAAUCUCCGUCGAGAUUACUGCCUUAGCCCUGUCCUACCAUAUUUAUAAUGGAGUUCGUCAUUUAUUGACGGAUUUUUCUGGAUUUGGACGAAAAAGAUGGAAAUGACUGUUAAAAAUUUGCACUUAUUUCAAAUUUUUCUUUUUUUAUGAAAUGCUUUACUUAUUAUUAUUAGCCUUGUUUCUUCUUUAAAGAAAGCUUAUGCCGUAGAAGCUGACAUCAGGCUAUUGGCCUUUUAUCUACAUCUUCCCGACCGGAAAGGGUUCGCUUUGUUUGGGAUGAACUCGCAAAGACUCGACCCGGGUUCCCUCGUAGAGUGGCGUCUUUUAUAAGACUCCACUUUCUCAGUGGAACUAAAAAAAAAGAGUUUGAGCUCUUUUGGCUUACUUUUAGCCACGCGGGGCGGCUAUCCGCAUGUGUCCAAAAGUGACGUCCAUUUUUUUGUAAUGGGUAUACUAGAAAAAAAAGGUUUGGAAUUCGACCUCCCCUUAUACGCUCUAAAAAGGGGUCAUUGACUCCUUUUUUGUUUAGGAUCCCCUUUUUUUUUACAUUCAAUUAUUUAUUGAGCCCGGUGUGGAAUCACCAUCAUUACACAUUCAUUCUUGGUCUGGCUGCUGGUCUAGCGAGCCUUCCUAGCCGCCUAGAGUGCAGUCUACCUGCUGAAGACCGUAACGUAAGUAACUCAGUGCUUCAUACAGGGGAAAUGAAAGCAGAAUUCGUUCGGAUCCUCCCACAUGUUCAAUCUUUUUUUAGCGGUUUCCCCAGAGAUUUUUCUCAUUAAUGCAACCUUCAUUUUGCUCAUUCAUGGAGUUGUAUUUAGUACCUCUAAGAAAUAUGAUUAUCCGCCGUUAGUCAGUAAUGUGGGUUGGCUUGGAUUACUUAGUGUUGCGCGCCUAGGAGGGCAGCGCGCUUUGGGAUGCGGAGGAGCUAUUAUCGUCCAGCUCCCUAACCUAAUGCGGCACCGGGUUUGGACCGCAGGGAACCAUAGCAUGGGGGGACGUCUAAUCCUUUUGCCGCCGCAAGGCUGGCUAAUCGUACGCAGCAGGCUCGAAAACCCCUGGUUCUGGAAGGCACAUGAGUCCGAACGCUAUGUUGAAUGUGCGACUGACACUACACUACGUAGGUACCUGUGCAGGUGAGGCGUCGGUCGGUCCUAGAAACGGCGGCAGCGGCGCGAGGAGUUAACGACCGGACGUGCUGCAACCUAGGGAUCACCAGGCAGCUCUUUCGCUCUAUAGGGAUCGGGGGGGCAUAGCACAAUUCUUCUUGGAGGAGGGUUCUUUGCCCGGGUGACUGAUCCUGCCAUAAUGUACUCCUUACCUAUACUAUACACCGGCAACCGAAGUCGAGCAUACAUACGACAAUCUUCAUGCGUGAAUAGCCGGGAGGAAAGAAAGGGCGGUAGAUGAUAAUGAGAAAAGGCACCGCGUCUGGACGGGCGGGCGGAAUGGAUGAGCGAAAGGUGUCAUGCCAUGUAGUGGGGAAUAUCCCGAGUCUCAUGUAAGACAACUAAAUAGACCUCGAGGUGCUGCCGAGGAACUGAGGGACCUUAUCGAGCACAGGAUAGGUAAUUGAAAGAUAGAGCUAGCCUAUUCGUUAUGGGGAAUCAAUGCUCCGGACCGAAUAGAGCUUACCUACGGCACCUGGCUUUCUCCGGUGCAUAUUAGCUUAGCUGCGCUUACGCGGCCGGUUUGGCUUCCUCUCUGGCGGCCACUUACCUUACCCCCGCUACACUCUCACUCCAAGCUACGCCUGCUGAGCAAGAUGCAUUGCGAUUUCCUCUUCUGUGGACGCACCGGCGUAUGACCCGGGGCGGGAAGAGAAAAAAUGAUCCGGCGAGCUUUCUCUCGUAAAGCCAAAGACGCCCCAAGACAAGGUCAAACUGUUGGGAAGAGGACAUGGUCAAUAGAACCUGGCUGGAUCCGGGCUGGGAUAGUGUCGCCCAUUCAACAUCAGUUCCGAAAGGGUUCGCUCAUGCUGGAGGGAGCAUCCCCACUUAGUGAUCGGUCCACUAGUUCACGCAAAUCCGAAGAAGUUAUCACGGACGAGCCACAUGCAGGGAAACUUGCACGUGUGGUUCUGGCCGGGCUUUCCUGAGGUAUCUAAUAACCUUGCUUCUGCUCGCCGCUGGCGCACCUCUCCUAACUAUUGCCUAUUUAUUCUGGAAUAAUCUUUUUAGGAGGGACAAUUUUACAUAUUUAUGCCAAAUCCUUCUAUUAUGUUGUACGGCUGGUACCAUUUCGAUGUGUUUCGAUUCUUCCGAACAAGAGAGGUUUGAUGCUUUUGAAUUCAUUGUAUUAAUUCCACUUCCUACUCGCAGUAUGCUCUUUAUGAUCUCGGCUUAUGAUUCAAUUGCCAUGUAUUUAGCUAUUGAGCCUCAAAGUUUAUGUUUUUAUGUGAUCGCAGCAUCAAAAAGAAAGUCUGAAUUUUCCACGGAAGCCGGCUCGAAAUAUUUGAUCUUAGGUGCAUUUUCCUCUGGAAUAUUAUUAUUUGGGUACGACCGGACAACUACCGAUAUCUAUUAAUAUCUUUUCUUAUAUCUAUAUCGUAAACUAUCGGAUCGGGUAUUACUUAGAUGUGAAACUUGCAGACCUUAUUGGUUGUGAUAUUACUCUUACGGGGGGAACGAAAUCAAAGAAUAUAUAGACUUGUAGAGACCCUCUAUGUAGUUGUCUAUCUAGGGCGAUCGAUCUACAUCUUUCCCCAUAGCCCUGGGGCUGUGUCUCGAUCUCCUAUGUGCGAAAUCUAAGAGACUAGUUCCUAUGGAGAUUCCCCUUGGUCUAAUUCCACGCCUUAUGACGAAAGUGGAGUCGGCGUGGCGUAAAGUGAAGAUUGGGGGAGUAGAUAAAAUUCCCUUCUGGGGUAUUCCGAAGGUGUAACCUAGGCAACGAAAAAGGGGCCCGAUACUUCAACUAGAGGAGCGACCAGUUGGUUCACCAAACUCCGACCCAGCGUCACACGUUCUCCAGGUCCGAAGGGAUCCAGUGCCCAACUACCGACUCCUCCCGGAAUUGCGUUAUCGGAGUCGAGCCAGGAAUGGCCGUUAGUGGGCACCCACCACUUUUCACGGUUAGAGAGGCCCUCUUUAAUACAUUAAGAAAAGAUGUGCACAGGGGCCAGAACGACUCGGUCAUAGGAAUUUAGACCACCUACGUGCUGGUAAACGAAAACCACCUCGACCGGAUCAGAGUAAACAACAAUGUUGAAUCAGGCCGCCCCUUGCCUUGAAAGAAUUCACACGCGGCCGCCAGCUUUCCAAAAAUAAGGGGAGAUCUGCUGCUUACUGCUCACGGAAACAUCCGACCUAUACGUCGUUCGCGUAUCUUUCUGAUCUCCUUUCCUUCUAUUCAUCAGAUUUUUUGCUUUGACGACCCAUUCAAGGUGAAAAAUGGGGUUGAUGGUGGUUAGCUAAAAAAGGGGGGGGGGAGAGAGGAGAGCCUUGGGGUACGCUCACUUCUGCAUUUUUGUUUAGGUUCUCGAGAUUCUCAAUCGCUCUUUUUAGUGGGGAGGAAUAGUACAUGAAUAAAUGGCGGUUCUCAGACGAGGGAAUCGUUCCUCUAUAUAUAAAAAAAGGCUAGAAUGCUUCUAUUGAUAGAGCUUUCACGUCUGCGCAUAGAAUCGUUUUUUGCCCUUCCAUUCUGUUCUUACCAUAUCAUGGGUAGUUGGGUCGGAAUCCGUGUGAUGGUUCGAGAGUAGUUUCAAAUAUUCUUCGCAUCCCCAGAGAGAUACAUUGUUGCCAUUGUGACUUGGUCGUCAAAAGGAAAGGGGCACGAACAGCCUUAAAGUACUCUUCCAUGUCCCAGAGGUCUUCGAGCCUUGGCAUUUUGAAUCCCGUUGAAUGGCUGUGGUUCCGGGGCUCAAAUGCGUCUGGAGUCGCCAGGUGAGACAUUCGGUUCACGAACCGGAAACCUAUCUCCACAGCAAGCUCCCCAAUUUGACCCGGUCCGUCACGCUUUGGACAUCGCCACCGGGAUCGUUGAGGCCCCAUGAAGAUGGCUCUCCUUCACUGGGAAGACGCGGUACUCAUUAGCGAGCGUCUGGUGACCAACGAUUCCUGAUUCUCCUGCCUUUCCGCCAUAGUCUACACUUGUCCGUCCAAAUGGUCGACCUUGCCAUCAAGUUGGGUCAUUCGAUCCUUGAAUGUUUCCUUAACAACAGCCGCCGCAGACAGCACUCCACUGCUAUCGUCAAGCUUGGACAUGGUACAACAAGAAGAGAAUUAGCAGAGAAAGGGAAACAAAACUCCGCUCUGAUACCUCCAAAAGCGAAAUAGGCACGCGCACGGGUAGAGAGUCGUGCGGCCCAGGUAAAGCCUAUUUUCGUGUAGCACCUGGGAGCAGCCUUCUCCUUGCCGAGUUUUGCUUCUGAUCUCUUUCUCAGUCUCUAGUUCGUUACCUUCUACUACCGAUCUUCUCCUGCUGCUUGCUUCGUUUGUUUCGUUGAGCUCGCUUUCUUUCGUUAGUUUCCUUUCUUUUCUUUAAUUUAAUAAAGAAACUCAAAAAAAUAGAAUAUGAACAGCAGCAGCCAAAUACUUUUAAAUGAGACUAAUCAGGGAUGCUUCCAUAAAAGACAACUAUGGUAUGCUCUUUUUCAAGUAUGUUGCGGUCAACACAGCUUCUGCCCAAAUGAGGUACAUUCAUCCCAAAGAUCAUAGCUCUAAUCGUUUCCAAUAAGUCUAUCUUUUUACUCUAAAAGAAUAUACGCAAAAUAUCUCUGAUGAACAGUGCCUCUAGAAAUAAGAUAUUGAGAAAAUCCCGUGGACAUGUAUUCUCCUCCAGAAUCAGAUCGUCCAAUUCUUUUUUUUUUCAUUAGGAAAUAAUGUCUGGCUUGUCGAUUGUGUGCCGUUCACUCCAACAUGGCGAAAAUGAUGUAAAUUGGAGUGAAGAGGUAAAGUUCUUCUUGAUGGGCCAGGAAUGUUGGAUAAUUGCUGAAGGUAAACCGGAGGAUGUUGGCGAGUAAGAAGCCAUUUUCAUCUUUUUUUGGUCUGGUGGGGCUAUGCAUGCGAUCACAGUGUCUGUAGCUGAUAAGAUGCGCCCCCAUAUAUUAUGGGGGCAUUACAGACCCAAGAAAGGCAUGGCUUACUUUGAGGGAAGUUAAUGAACAUGCGACCGCAAGUAAGCGUCAUUGCCUGGAGACUGAACAAGAUGGCCUGAAGCGGGGUAGUUUCAUUCUUGUUACUGUAUUAAGGUGAAGAACCUUUGUGAUCAGCUGGAGGCUUUUGGUAUGAAAAACUAUGAUGCCGAUAAUCUUAGUCAGAGCAUGAAGGGUAUAAAUUUCUAAAUAUGAUGGGAUAAGGAAGUCUUUGCUACUGCAUCAACAUAACCCUUCCAACAUUUUCUUAAUGAAAAGGUGCAUGAUAAGACGUUUACGUAUAGGAGGAGGAAGAGGCUGAGCCUGUCUGGACAAAGUGUACAUCCUAAUCCUAGGGAUAUACUUUUGUUCACUUCUACGUCCAAAUUUCAUUGUUGGGUAAGGCAAAAGCAGCAUCAGGGAGCUCUUCCAAGAACAAUAAGUGAAAGCUGGGGUGCGUGUCUUAGGUGCGGGCAGAUGGGGCACUACGUGAUAGAGUGCACAGCAAAAAUGCUUCUUGUUAAGGAAGAUAAUGAGGAGAGGUAGACAGGGGAGGCGCGACACGAGCAUAUUCAGUUUGCGGAAGUGAAGAGAGCCCGCGAUGCGGUCUUUGACUUCGGUACACACGAUUCCGAUUCUUCUAAGUGGUCUAUUGGAUAAGCAGCGGGGGUUUGAGUUUGAUCCCCAUCCCGGAAGCCUUAAAGGCUAGGUAGGGUAAUGCUUCCACACCUUGAUCAAAAGGAGAUUUUGCCCUUCUCCAACUACGCGAUAAGCUAAUGGAAAGCUUGCACCUUCUCUGACUUGAUCCACUUCGAAAGAGUAGGAAAAGUCAAGAAUAAACUGCUCUUACAUCCUCAUCAAGUGAGAGACCGACACGAGGAACUGCAAUCACUGAAAGAAAGGGUAAGCUGGCUUUGAUGUCUGGUUUGGACUGGACCACGUUCUUACCAAAAAGAAAGUCAAAGAGUGAAAUCUCCAUCACUUUGAAAGCGCCAUACUACAUAUCAGACCGAGAGAUGUCCCGAUUGGCCUACUUCCAAGAGCGGAAGUAGGAGGUAUAAGAGUACCCAAUCAAGCUCAGCCUUGGCAAGGCUAUCUUUUUUGAUCCGCCUCGGACAAUAGAAAGAUAAGUUCUCUUAAGUGGGGCUCGCCACCCGAUUUCUUCCCUCGACCCAAUUUUGAAAAAGAGAGAGCAGAACGGGCUUCUUUGUCUUUUCUCGUCAGGACAGAAUCCAUCUUUUUCAUAUCAUCCUUUUUCGAAUGGGAGGCCGGACAUGGGAGUUGGGUUUGACUUUCAUGGAUCCGAUAGCUUUUCCCAUCUGAAGGUCCACGAUUUCGACGAAGUGGCUUUCAGCUCCUGCUUUCUUUGGCCUUCUACCUCUCCCUGGAUUUUGAUUUUCUGGCAAGAGGAGAAUCUCUCUUUGGUGGGGUGUACUACUUUCUGAGAAUGCGCUUUCUAUUUGAGAUAAAGAGAAUUCCUUUCCACCGGCAGACUUUAUCGAAAAGGACCUCGCACCUUUCUUUCUGCUACAUUUCAGUACACCCUGCCUUUAUUAAUAGAAGAAGGCCAAAAGUGGAAGCAAGCAAUAAAAAGUGAAAUUAUUGCUCUAUGAGACCGACGUGCGCCUUUUUUGGGGGGUUUGGACCAACCUUCUUUCAACUAUAUGAUAAAUCGACAAUUUUCUCUAUGCUCGAGUCUUUCGUUUUCCUUCCCCACCCUUCUUAAGGGACUCAUUCACUACAGAGCUCAUAGCUACCUAGAAACCCGAACUUAGAAAGUCUAUGACUAAGAUUCCCACUUCAAAUCCCAGAAGCCAGAGAGGAAGAAGUCGGAUGGAAGCCUCUCUCUAGAAAAAUACAAUGGCACCAAGCCAAGCCCAGAAAGCAGCUUCACCUUCUCUCCUCCCAAGACUACUCAAUCCCAGCUGCUGACCUUAGCGAGACAAUAGAUUCCAUUACUAAACCAACUAUGGAACCACUUUCCUUUCUUUGCUACCAUCCGAUCCUCCUUUCCCUUUCAUCUUUCUAUUUAGCUGGUGAUCAAGUAUUGACAAAAGAUCUUAUUAGCUUAGGAGCUUGCGUGCCUUGAUGAAGUAAGGCUUGAGAGACCUCUUGAUUAAUAGUGUAAAUCCCUUUCAGUUGAUUAACGAUCAGUUGAGAAUCGCCAUAGACUGUAAGAGGAUCAAUCUUCAUCUCCAAAGCUAUACCCAAUCCAUUAGGGCUUCCUAUUCAGCAGCCUUGUUUGAAGCUGCAGAAGUCAGUGUGAACGAGUAAGGGAUCAUUGACCUUUCUGGUGUCAUGAAAAAAAUCCCUGCCCCGCUCCUGGAUGCUCCAUUGAAGUAUAUCUCCCAUGGGAACUUUUGCAUAUCAAACUUCUUCAUCAGGUAGAUCAGCAGGUUAAAGCAAAGAACUGUCAUUUGAGGCUGGAUGAGCUUCCAAGAAAUCAGCCAACGCUUGUCCUUUGCCUUACAAGAUUAGGGCAACAUCAUGGAUAACCUUACUGAUAACCUCUUGGUACUUUUUCUUGUUGAAAGGUUCGAGAGCAAAUUCCUUAUUGCACACUUUCAGCAACCCAAAGAGCUACCAGAAGGACAAGCCUAUAACAAAGGACAUUUUUCUUCGGCUACAAAAACAUGGACUAAGCUUUGCUUAUGACCGCGCUUCUUGAUCAUUACUAUACAACCUAAGAACAUGCUUGUGGGAGAUAGCAGCAGAGUAGGAUAGUCUCUUUAAAGAAAGCCACACCGAAGAGCUAGGCAGCUUGGGCUUAAACCCUUUACCAAAGACAUCCCUUUAUAUGAGAAUGCAACAGGAUCUCUCUUCGAAGACCUCUAUGCCUGUUCUCGAAUCAGCAGCACACUUUCUAUAUCCGUACCUCAUACCCUGGAAUUCCAGCUUCCCCUUAGGGGGAUCAAAAUAAACCUUGUGACUCAUUCCUUCGGUCCGUGGGUGUGGAACUUGUGCAAUCAUACCCUUCCUUCUUCUUCAUCACCAGGAGUUGAUUCAAUUGCUAAGAAGACAUUUCCUCCAAGAGUUUCUUCUUUCAGAACCUAAAGCCCUUUACGACAGGCGUGAACCGCUUUCUACCAGCUCGUUCGGGUAUCUAGCUUACGGAAAGCCUAGACCUAGGAUUGCUCUAUAGAGGAACUAGCAUAACAGACAUGACUUAGACAAGCAAGACAACUCUGAAUCACUCGUCCUCCUCUUGACUACAAAGCUGCUGUCGCUCUUAAAUGAAUGGCUAUCCUGACGGGAAUCAUCGGCUGAUGAAGAAAAGGUUGGCUUACCUGUGCUCUUCCUCUUAAGAAAGCGUAAUCUUACCUGACUAGAGUAUGGGUGCGGGAGGAAUCAACCUACAGACGAUCUUUCGUAACGGUUCCCCAAGGUGUGAUUCUGGUUCCAGGCCCUUAACCCUGCGCCAGUGGAGAUAACGAGAUUACCUAAAUGUUUUCUCGGUGCGAAGAAUAGAUAUCUUUCGUUAAUCUCUUUCUCUUCCUAUUCAGAACGACUUUUAGGUGAGAAUGGGAACCAAUCUUCCUUUAGACCAGAAGAAGUAGAAGUGAAAGUAGCGUAACCAAAGCUUACGGGAGCGGAGCGCUAAUCGCUAAUAAAGGGAAAGCGUUAUCACUAACAGGAAAUGAAGCAGCGGCUAGCAUGCUAAGAUCAAUCACUUGGAGUAGGAGAGCGCGGUGCUUUCUUUCUUACCUGACCAAUGGAACCUGCUUUUCUCCUUUGUUGCAUAUCUCUCCGAAUGAUUGGGCUCGGUCACAUAUAGGAGUGUGGUGAGAGACCCUGAGGAAUAUGACCUUGUAGGAAGAUUAAGCCAGAGGAAGAUUAGCCAAAUGGGAUUGCCAUUAUGGCCCGACCUGUGGAGAUUCGCCAGCCCACCGCUUUCACUUGACUUUAAAGCCAACUCGUCUGGCUGCCUGAAUCUGUGCCCCUAUGUGGAUGAGGAUCCAAGAGUUCGUGAAGUGUUGAAGAGCGGCGAGGGCAUAUGUCUGACCCUUUCAUCUAUUGUAAAUAGGCCCCUGGAUCUCUCUCUGAAUAGCCUGAAUGUCCGACUGUGUGUGCUGGGCAUCCUGCUAAGUGUGUUUGCGUGUUCGUCUUUCCUCGAAUGUAACGUAACGAUUGAAAGAAAAGAAUCAAUCCCACUGCCUUUCUAAAUGUCUGAAUGCAGAUAGUGCAACUACUGAAAGGUAUAUCCCCAAGGCAAGAUGAAAGUCCUAAAGUUUCCGGGGUAAGUGGUGUAAAGUUCGAAAACCUAUAUCUCUUUGUUAGGGGCUAACUAGCAGAACAGCAUGGAACCUGAAACCUAUGGCAGUUAGGCAGCUUCACUAUAGAAUGUUCGGAUGUUCCCGAAGGGCAAAGAAGGAUCGAGACUCUUAGAAAUCAGCGACUGUAAGGCAAGCUGUAACCCAGUCUUCAAACCUGUCUCUUAAGUGUUCAAGGCGGUCCACUCAGGUGGGAAGGUCCGUCAAAAGACUUCCUAGAAACCAGACUAAGUAGCUAAGCAGGUUGGCAUACAGAAGGUGCAGCUCUCUUGUUUAGAAUUCUGGGAAGUAUGCUUAUCUGAUCUGGAAGGAGAGCUAAGUUUCUUUCUCUUGGAAGGAAGAAGGAGUGGUACGUACUCUUAUAUUCUUAGACUUUCCCUAUUAACCUCAAGUAGGUUGGUGAAAGUCUACUGGAGGCAGUAAAGGUAAAUCCUCAAUAGGAGAUACCAUGAAGUCAAGUCCUGUAUACCCUACUAAUAUCCAUCGAUCAAAUGAAAUUGGAUCACUGUAUUAGGGUCCAAACAUGGUGGACAAUAACCUAGUGCCCAUUGACCGGCACCCAUAUCAUAACAACGCCAGGUAAGGCCAUACUUAAAGAUUUCACAAUCGAAAGCAGACCGUCUCCACGACGUUGAAACCAUAGGGGCACCAAAUAAGUCCCAGAUAUUAGGACAAGGAUCAAGAGCUACCGAAACAUACCAGUGAAGCCACUUUAACCAUAACCGCAUCCAGUUAUGGAGAAGAGUGUAUUCAAAGUUAUACCGUUCACCCUCAAACGUCAGCUUUUCCGGAGGCAACCGUAGCUCCUUCGGUUGCAACUCCUUCCUAAGCACAUCCACUAUUAUUCCCUUCAAAUAGGGAUUGAGGGGCUUACCCCUUCCAAUCCACCAUUCUAAUGGUAGUGAAUGUUUUUUCUCAAGGGUUUCGUCGAUACAGAGGUGUAGCUAACACUGGAAAGCGGAAACCCUGUAUCGACAAAAUCCUAUCUAAAGCUAAAAGCUAAAGAAGGAGAUCCAGGGAAGUGUGCUCUGCCAGCAAAGGAGUAGUCAGAAAGAGUUCCUUGCCCGAGAUAGCAAACACCCGCAUACGACCUAAUGCUAGGAUAAUGCCAUCGAACCAAGUGUUCGAAAUGAUCAGAUCUUUUUGCGAUCAAAAAAUGAUGAGAAAUCCAGACCAGAUAUGAAGGUUAAUAUUCAGUAAUUGUGCACAGGUAAAUACUCAGUAAGUGAACACCGAACAUGUGCUCCUGGUGUCCGGGAUUUAGGGCUCUGAGCUUUCCCUAGUCGAAAGAGAAGGGGAAUAAUCAGUACGAUUGACUUUGAGUCCGCCUACAACGGGGACAUAAGGUUAAAGCCGAGAAGUAGGUUCAAAGCCGAUAUCCGCACGCUCCUAACCUCCCUUGUUUUGCGUCUCCGACUGUACGAUAAGUAGUCCACCCUGAGGUAGUGGAUUUUGACUAGACCAAUAGCCUGCCCUCUGCCCCUGGGCAUUUAGCAGAGGAGUGCGCUAGGCUCGGCUCGGGAUGAGCUCCUUAGCUAGUCCCAGCUAGAAGAAGUCAGCUUGCUUGCUUUCCUGGAAUGGGAAUGGAAACCUAUAGGUUCUGCAGAGCUAAGCCGGUAAGCAAUCCUCUUCAUUCUGCGAGCUAGAAAUAAUCCUGACUUCCGGGCAAUCAAUCAAAUAGUUUCCUGGUUUUCCAUUCACAGAGGGUAAGGUGCCAGUCUCAUAAAAAAGAAAGGCUAGCAGGCAAGCGAACCAAGCCAGUUCCUUUUGUUUGAGUCUGUGAAACUCCGACGCUUUUAUCUUUUAGCGAGUAUUAAGUUCCUGGCCUUGUUGUGUCACGAAGGUUCGAAAACAUUUGAUUCUUGCUUGAUUUCUGUCUUCCGCGGAUUUUCUUUCUUGCUUGGCGAAUUGCCUUUUUUAGUCAUUUGUGUUGUAAUCGAAAGGAAUCAUUUUUCUUUGAUACCCCUCAGGGGAUGUCUUCGCUCGUUUAACCUUACUUCUAUUUCCCUCUAUCCCGCCAGCCAGCCUACAAAACUACCUUCAUUACUGAAAGGGGUUUGUUUUUAGAACAGAAUUUGAGGAUGGUGGUGCAUCCCUUUAGCGCUCCAUCAAGCAGUUCUUUCCGGCUCCUGUAGAAGAUGACAUUUAGUGCUCGCCCGUCUACGGGCACCUCUUCGAGUUAAUAACAAAAUCCUCGUCUUAGAGCUAGGGCUAUGGAGUGUGAAAGAUAAAGUAUAGUUGGUUGUUGGAGUUCCUCUGAGCACACAAGACAGAGUGCCGUCCGGGGUUUCGGUUUUGUUAGCAUCAUGCGACAGAAAAGAAGGUAGUACUUCAGUCGCCUCCGAUACCAUAGGGAGCGGCCAUAAAGUGUUGGAGGGGAGGCAUGGGAUCCCUUUUUUUUGGUGGGGGAGAGGAGAAGUGUUUGCUAGCGGCCCCAAUCAAUGCCCAGGAGCAGAAGCGCUUUCUAAGUGUUUUCUCACUUGGUCGAUCUGGCAGUUCAUUUCAGUUCCGUGGCUAAAUAGUUAGCUAUCAAGCUGGUGGGACUGGAACUCAACCUGCACAUGUAGUAAGGUUGGGUCUCUUCCCCGGAACAGUAGUUCCGCUUUUCCUGAAGUCAAACAAUGAAACUAGUAGAGGAAGGAAGCGAUGACAGGAAUGUCGUAAAGGAAGACGAAGAACCGACUACUUAUGCGCUUGCCCUUUAUCUGCCCUACCCGCCCCCUUCUCUUCUAGGGAUGAGGAAGGAAGAAGGUGAUGUCCGGAUAAGCUCCAACUGGAGAAAUUGGAACUGGAAGAAGCUAUGCUACCUUUGGCUCGCCCUCCCUUCUGCUUUCCGCUUCAUUGCCUUUCUCAACUCAACUCUCGUGGCACUGGCCGUAACAUCAAGAUCUGAAACUCGAAUAAGGUGGAAGGCGCACUUCCCUCUUGAAUUGCGUUUGCGGGGCUUCUUGCCUCGGACACUUUGGUGGGUGGAGUCCAAUCCACAAUGGCCUGCACUUUCCUCCCAUCCAUUCUAACCUGGCCUUUGCUAAUCAAAUGCCCAAAGUAUAUAAUUCCUGUCGGGCAAAGUCACUCACACUUUUCCAUCUUUACAUAUAGCUUGUGCUCCCUUAACCGAGUGAGCACUUUCCUAAGGUGGGACAACCUCUAGGGACUUACUAUAGACAACAAUGUCAUCAAGAUAGACAACAAGAAAGCAAUCAAUAUAGUUAUAAGUUCUAAAAGACAUCACUCAUCAAAUUACAGAAGGUCAUUUGUAAGCCCAAAUGGCAUGACAAGGAACUCGUAAAGCCAUAUCUAUCUGGUAACAGAAGUGGUUUUAGGCUCGUCUCCUUCUGCAAUUCUGAGAUUGAUUGGUAGAACCCGCCCCCCUCUGUCUAUUAAAAAGGGCGAUUUCCCGCUCUCCUGAGGUACUCAACAACGAAAGAACCUGCGCUUUGGUGCUUUGGGCUAUGCCAUGUCUUCAAAACCGCUACGUGGGCUACUUUACUCGAAGUCGAAAGUGUACAUCAACACCAGCCGCUGCCAUUGGAACUUCUCUGGUACACCCGACUUAUUAGUCGAGCGGAGGAGCGAAAGAAGCUCGACUGAUUAGAGAGGAGCGAAAGCCUUUGCUUUAUGCCACGUCUUCCUUAUUCCUAUCUAAUAGCUUCCUUCUUCACCUCUCUUUCCCAAGGGCUAGCUGGAGACACUGAGACUUAGCUUGUUGACCCUUUACUUGGGAUAUAUUGCGCGAGUCGCUUUGGAUGAUGCAGUCACUUCCGAUCUCCCGUUGUACUAUCACCUUCUCGUGUUGGGGGUUGAAAGCUGUUCAAUCACCGUAAAACAAAAGUGAACCGGUAGAAAGGCGGAUCAAUCUUAAGAGCAGAUAAAGUGGUUUCAGGGAAGGGUGAAAGGCCGGCUUCGAUUAGAUCAAAAGAAGCGAGCUAGCUAUAUGCUUAAGACAUCCCAGGUGAAGGUUGUUUGAAGCUUGCUUCCAUUCUCUUUCUUACUACCAUUUGCUCUCGUUCGCUAAGCUUACUUGACUUUCAUGAUUAGCGUGCCGUUAGGUUAGGCCUUCUCCCCUCUAGUCUUCUAUUACUUCGUGCCACUAUGCUAGCCAUAUGAUCAACCGAUCUAUGCUGUCAUUUCUAAUCAAUAUGAACCUAUUCAUGGAUGUGUUUACUUACACGUGCAG